CGGGACACGUGGUAUCCUGUCUGAAUAUGGGGGGACCAUCCUCCAAGGCUAAAUACUCCUGACUGACCGAUAGUGAACCAGUACCGUGAGGGAAAGGCGAAAAGAACCCCGGCGAGGGGAGUGAAAAAGAACCUGAAACCGUGUACGUACAAGCAGUGGGAGCCUCUUUAUGGGGUGACUGCGUACCUUUUGUAUAAUGGGUCAGCGACUUAUAUUCUGUAGCAAGGUUAACCGAAUAGGGGAGCCGAAGGGAAACCGAGUCUUAACUGGGCGUUAAGUUGCAGGGUAUAGACCCGAAACCCGGUGAUCUAGCCAUGGGCAGGUUGAAGGUUGGGUAACACUAACUGGAGGACCGAACCGACUAAUGUUGAAAAAUUAGCGGAUGACUUGUGGCUGGGGGUGAAAGGCCAAUCAAACCGGGAGAUAGCUGGUUCUCCCCGAAAGCUAUUUAGGUAGCGCCUCGUGAAUUCAUCUCCGGGGGUAGAGCACUGUUUCGGCAAGGGGGUCAUCCCGACUUACCAACCCGAUGCAAACUGCGAAUACCGGAGAAUGUUAUCACGGGAGACACACGGCGGGUGCUAACGUCCGUCGUGAAGAGGGAAACAACCCAGACCGCCAGCUAAGGUCCCAAAGUCAUGGUUAAGUGGGAAACGAUGUGGGAAGGCCCAGACAGCCAGGAUGUUGGCUUAGAAGCAGCCAUCAUUUAAAGAAAGCGUAAUAGCUCACUGGUCGAGUCGGCCUGCGCGGAAGAUGUAACGGGGCUAAACCAUGCACCGAAGCUGCGGCAGCGACGCUUAUGCGUUGUUGGGUAGGGGAGCGUUCUGUAAGCCUGCGAAGGUGUGCUGUGAGGCAUGCUGGAGGUAUCAGAAGUGCGAAUGCUGACAUAAGUAACGAUAAAGCGGGUGAAAAGCCCGCUCGCCGGAAGACCAAGGGUUCCUGUCCAACGUUAAUCGGGGCAGGGUGAGUCGACCCCUAAGGCGAGGCCGAAAGGCGUAGUCGAUGGGAAACAGGUUAAUAUUCCUGUACUUGGUGUUACUGCGAAGGGGGGACGGAGAAGGCUAUGUUGGCCGGGCGACGGUUGUCCCGGUUUAAGCGUGUAGGCUGGUUUUCCAGGCAAAUCCGGAAAAUCAAGGCUGAGGCGUGAUGACGAGGCACUACGGUGCUGAAGCAACAAAUGCCCUGCUUCCAGGAAAAGCCUCUAAGCAUCAGGUAACAUCAAAUCGUACCCCAAACCGACACAGGUGGUCAGGUAGAGAAUACCAAGGCGCUUGAGAGAACUCGGGUGAAGGAACUAGGCAAAAUGGUGCCGUAACUUCGGGAGAAGGCACGCUGAUAUGUAGGUGAAGCGACUUGCUCGUGGAGCUGAAAUCAGUCGAAGAUACCAGCUGGCUGCAACUGUUUAUUAAAAACACAGCACUGUGCAAACACGAAAGUGGACGUAUACGGUGUGACGCCUGCCCGGUGCCGGAAGGUUAAUUGAUGGGGUUAGCGGUAACGCGAAGCUCUUGAUCGAAGCCCCGGUAAACGGCGGCCGUAACUAUAACGGUCCUAAGGUAGCGAAAUUCCUUGUCGGGUAAGUUCCGACCUGCACGAAUGGCGUAAUGAUGGCCAGGCUGUCUCCACCCGAGACUCAGUGAAAUUGAACUCGCUGUGAAGAUGCAGUGUACCCGCGGCAAGACGGAAAGACCCCGUGAACCUUUACUAUAGCUUGACACUGAACAUUGAGCCUUGAUGUGUAGGAUAGGUGGGAGGCUUUGAAGUGUGGACGCCAGUCUGCAUGGAGCCGACCUUGAAAUACCACCCUUUAAUGUUUGAUGUUCUAACGUUGGCCCCUGAUCGGGGUUGCGGACAGUGUCUGGUGGGUAGUUUGACUGGGGCGGUCUCCUCCUAAAGAGUAACGGAGGAGCACGAAGGUUGGCUAAUCCUGGUCGGACAUCAGGAGGUUAGUGCAAUGGCAUAAGCCAGCUUGACUGCGAGCGUGACGGCGCGAGCAGGUGCGAAAGCAGGUCAUAGUGAUCCGGUGGUUCUGAAUGGAAGGGCCAUCGCUCAACGGAUAAAAGGUACUCCGGGGAUAACAGGCUGAUACCGCCCAAGAGUUCAUAUCGACGGCGGUGUUUGGCACCUCGAUGUCGGCUCAUCACAUCCUGGGGCUGAAGUAGGUCCCAAGGGUAUGGCUGUUCGCCAUUUAAAGUGGUACGCGAGCUGGGUUUAGAACGUCGUGAGACAGUUCGGUCCCUAUCUGCCGUGGGCGCUGGAGAACUGAGGGGGGCUGCUCCUAGUACGAGAGGACCGGAGUGGACGCAUCACUGGUGUUCGGGUUGUCAUGCCAAUGGCACUGCCCGGUAGCUAAAUGCGGAAGAGAUAAGUGCUGAAAGCAUCUAAGCACGAAACUUGCCCCGAGAUGAGUUCUCCCUGAGACUUUAAGUCUCCUGAAGGAACGUUGAAGACGACGACGUUGAUAGGCCGGGUGUGUAAGCGCAGCGAUGCGUUGAGCUAACCGGUACUAAUGAACCGUGAG
rnacentral:rRNA from 1 species